CAACCGGGAUUGCCUUAGUAACGGCGAGUGAAGCGGCAAAAGCUCAAAUUUGAAAUCUGGUACCUUCGGUGCCCGAGUUGUAAUUUGGAGAGGGCAACUUUGGGGCCGUUCCUUGUCUAUGUUCCUUGGAACAGGACGUCAUAGAGGGUGAGAAUCCCGUGUGGCGAGGAGUGCGGUUCUUUGUAAAGUGCCUUCGAAGAGUCGAGUUGUUUGGGAAUGCAGCUCUAAGUGGGUGGUAAAUUCCAUCUAAAGCUAAAUAUUGGCGAGAGACCGAUAGCGAACAAGUACAGUGAUGGAAAGAUGAAAAGAACUUUGAAAAGAGAGUGAAAAAGUACGUGAAAUUGUUGAAAGGGAAGGGCAUUUGAUCAGACAUGGUGUUUUGUGCCCUCUGCUCCUUGUGGGUAGGGGAAUCUCGCAUUUCACUGGGCCAGCAUCAGUUUUGGUGGCAGGAUAAAUCCAUAGGAAUGUAGCUUGCCUCGGUAAGUAUUAUAGCCUGUGGGAAUACUGCCAGCUGGGACUGAGGACUGCGACGUAAGUCAAGGAUGCUGGCAUAAUGGU
rnacentral:rRNA from 1 species